CCUACGGGAGGCAGCAGUGGGGAAUAUUAAACAAAGGGCGCAAGCCUGAUGCAAACAAGCACCUUUUCCUAAUCACUCCUUCUUGUUGUAAAGUACUUUCAGUCGUUAUCAAAGUAAUAAGGAAAAUAACCUUAGCAAUUGACGUUAGCGACAGAAGAAGCACCGGCUAACUCCGUGCCAGCAGCCGCGGUAAUACGGAGGGUGCGAGCGUUAAUCGGAAUUACUGGGCGUAAAGGGCACGCAGGCGGUUAAUUAAGUUGGAUGUGAAAUCCCCGGGCUAAACCUGGGAAUGGCAUUCAAGACUGGUUAGCUAGAGUCUUGUAGAGGGGGGUAGAAUUGUAUGUGUGGCGGUGAAGUGUUUUUUGUUGUUGGUUAAUAGGGGUGGCGUAGUUUGCCCCCUGGUUAAAUCUGUACUCGUAGUGGCGAAAGCGUGGGGAGAAAACAGGAUAAGAGACCGAGUAGUC
rnacentral:rRNA from 1 species